rnacentral:rRNA from 1 species
GACGAACGCUGGCGGCGUGCUUAGCACAUGCAAGUCGAACGGAAAGGCCCUGCUUUUGUGGGGUGCUCGAGUGGCGAACGGGUGAGUAACACGUGAGUAACCUGCCCUUGACUUUGGGAUAACUUCAGGAAACUGGGGCUAAUACCGGAUAGGAGCUCCUGCUGCAUGGUGGGGGUUGGAAAGUUUCGGCGGUUGGGGAUGGACUCGCGGCUUAUCAGCUUGUUGGUGGGGUAGUGGCUUACCAAGGCUUUGACGGGUAGCCGGCCUGAGAGGGUGACCGGCCACAUUGGGACUGAGGUACGGCCCAGACGCCUACGGGGGGCAGCAGUGGGGAAUAUUGCACAAUGGGCGGAAGCCUGAUGCAGCAACGCCGGGGGCGGGAUGACGGCCUUCGGGGUGUAAACCGCUUUCGCCUGUGACGAAGCGUGAGUGACGGUAAUGGGUAAAGAAGCACCGGCUAACUACGUG